ACAGGGGGAUAACAGUCAGAAAUGACUGCUAAUACCGCAUAAGACCACAGCACCGCAUGGUGCAGGGGUAAAAACUCCGGUGGUACAGGAUGGACCCGCGUCUGAUUAGCUGGUUGGUGAGGUAACGGCUCACCAAGGCGACGAUCAGUAGCCGGCUUGAGAGAGUGAACGGCCACAUUGGGACUGAGACACGGCCCAAACUCCUACGGGAGGCAGCAGUGGGGAAUAUUGCACAAUGGGGGAAACCCUGAUGCAGCGACGCCGCGUGAGUGAAGAAGUAUCUCGGUAUGUAAAGCUCUAUCAGCAGGGAAGAAAAUGACGGUACCUGACUAAGAAGCCCCGGCUAACUACGUGCCAGCAGCCGCGGUAAUACGUAGGGGGCAAGCGUUAUCCGGAAUUACUGGGUGUAAAGGGUGCGUAGGUGGUAUGGCAAGUCAGAAGUGAAAACCCAGGGCUUAACUCUGGGACUGCUUUUGAAACUGUCAGACUGGAGUGCAGGAGAGGUAAGCGGAAUUCCUAGUGUAGCGGUGAAAUGCGUAGAUAUUAGGAGGAACAUCAGUGGCGAAGGCGGCUUACUGGACUGAAACUGACACUGAGGCACGAAAGCGUGGGGAGCAAACAGGAUUAGAUACCCUGGUAGUCCACGCCGUAAACGA
rnacentral:rRNA from 1 species